UCAGCUCUGGUCCCAGUGCAGGAGUAAAUGGGACAUCGACACGUAACUUCCCAUGAAAUCACUUACAGCCUCCUGGCCUGAGUAAACAGUGAUACAAAAUAACGUUUCUGCUUUAUUAGGAGGUGCAGUGAAGGUUUACGGAAUUGAUUCCUGGAAUGGUAGGACUGACGUAUGAACAGAGAGUGACUCGGCGAGGACUAUAUUCAGUAGAAUUUAGAAGAAUGAAUGGGCGUUUGGCUGAAUGUUUCUCACAGACACCGAUGUCAUAUGUGAGCAAGCUCGGUAAAAGUGUCAGAUUUAAGUGUAACCUAGACAGCGGGAGCACUGUAGUCCAUUGGUACCAGCACCGAGAGGGUCAGGCGCCCUCCAGAAUACUUUAUUAUGACAGCAAGGUCAAUCGGGAUUCGGGAUUCGGCAGCAGGUUUAAAGCGGAUAAGAAGAACACUGUGUGCACUUUGAUCAUCAAUGACAUCGUGAAGGAAGACGCUGCCACUUAUUACUGCGCCUAUUGGGACAGCACAGUGUUCAACAGAGAUAGAAAUGCUUAACAAAAACGCGGCGCUUCAGAUCGCUCCUCCCGCAGCCACCACACAAACAUCAACUCCUAUUUAUAAAGCGCCAUUAACAUACUAAAUCGUCCCACUGUGUCUCAAAGGCUACAUUGUUAAAAAAAAUUAAA